AGCGAAUAGAUACCCGGGUAGUCCACGCCCUAAACGAUCUCAACUGGCUAUUCGGAGUAUCGACCCUCUGAGUGGCGAAAGCUAACGCGUUAAGUUGAGCGCCUGGGUAGUACGGCCGCAAGGCUAAAACUCAAAGGAAUAGACGGGGGCUUGCACAAGCGGUGGAGCGUGUGGCUUAAUUCGUCGCUAAGCGAAGAACCUUACCAGGGCUAGAAAUCCUACUGCACGUCCUAGGAAACUAGGAAAGCCUUCGAGGGUGUAGGACAGGUGAUGCAUGGCUGUCGUCAGUUCGUGGUUUGAAUCGUUCCCUUCAGUGGGGUAACGAACGCAACCCUCGUUGCCUGUUACACGUAUCAGGCGAGACUGCCCCCUCACGGGGGAGGAAGGUGAGGAUGACGCCAAGUCAGCAUGUCCCUCUGAUGUCCUGGGCUGCACACGCGCUACAAUCGCCACUACAGCGGGGCGCAAUGGAGUAAUCCGGAGCAAAUCCUCAAAAGUGGCGCCAGUUCGGAUUGAGGUCUGCAACUCGACCUC
rnacentral:rRNA from 1 species